rnacentral:rRNA from 1 species
GAUGAACGCUGGCGGCGUGCCUAAUACAUGCAAGUCGAGCGAACGGGCGAGAAGCUUGCUUCUCUGAUGUUAGCGGCGGACGGGUGAGUAACACGUGGAUAACCUACCUAUAAGACUGGGAUAACUUCGGGAAACCGUAGCUAAUACCGGAUAAUAUUUUGAACCGCAUGGUUCAAAAGUGAAAGACGGUCUUGCUGUCACUUAUAGAUGGAUCCGCGCUGCAUUAGCUAGUUGGUAAGGUAACGGCUUACCAAGGCAACGAUGCAUAGCCGACCUGAGGGGGUGAUCGGCCACACUGGAACUGAGACACGGUCCAGACUCCUACGGGAGGCAGCAGUAGGGAAUCUUCCGCAAUGGGCGAAAGCCUGACGGAGCAACGCCGCGUGAGUGAUGAAGGUCUUCGGAUCGUAAAACUCUGUUAUUAGGGAAGAACAUAUGUGUAAGUAACUGUGCACAUCUUGACGGUACCUAAUCAGAAAGCCACGGCUAACUACGUG